rnacentral:tRNA from 1 species
GCACUGGUGGUUCUGUGGUGGAACGCUCGCCUUCCACGCGGGAGACCUGGGUGGGGUUCCUGGCCAGUGCA